UACGUAGGGAGCAAGCGUUGUCCGGAAUCAUUGGGCGUAAAGCGCGCGUAGGUGGCCUCAUAAGUCCGCUGUGAAAGUCAAAGGCUCAACCUUUGAAAGCCGGUGGAUACUGUGGGGCUAGAGUACGGAAGAGGCGAGUGGAAUUCCUGGUGUAGCGGUGAAAUGCGCAGAUAUCAGGAGGAACACCAAUGGCGAAGGCAGCUCGCUGGGACGUGACUGACGCUGAGACGCGAAAGCGUGGGGAGCAAACAGG
rnacentral:rRNA from 1 species